UAUAUGUAAAAUCAUCAACAUUUUUAAUAUAUUUUAAAGGACCUAUUCUGUGCAUUGGAUAAUAAUAAAAAAUAAAUUGAAAAUUUAUUCCGAUUUUUAUCAAGUAAGAAAUUUAUUGGUACUCUGUGACAAUCUUUUUAAAAUAGAAAGCUUCAGUACGGUUAGCUUUUCCCCACACGUGUGGGAAAUGUAAAUGUAAAUGUAAACAGAAACAUCUGAUUUCUGUCCAAUUACAUUCGAAUUGAAUUGAAAAAUUUAAUUGAAUUAUUCUGUAAUUAAUUCCUUUGCUCUUGAGCUAGAUGGGAAGUUUAUGAGAAUGCGCAAAAGGUCAUGCUAAAGGUUAUCUUGAUUAGUGUUUGUUUUAACCGAGCAUUUUUUAUUGUGGCUUCGUAGAUAAGGGGUGCCGCGCGAAGAUGGGAUUGAUAAUCGGAUGACAGAAGCUAUAUAAUCGCUUUUCGAUCCCACAACCCCGGAGUCUUUUGCUCCCCCGCGGAGCCAUAGAAUAUUAUAUUAUAUAAUGCAUAUAUGUAUGUACAUACAUGGUCUUUUAUAAUAGAUUUCAAGUAUGUUGUCAGAAAAGUACCUUGCAUACUAUGAAAAACUAAACUUUGUCGUUUAUUGACUAAAAUUUGCAAUGCUGAAUCAAAAUCUUUAUAAAUUAGAAAUAUGUUGAAUUUGUAAAGUGCACAGAAUAGGGCUGUAAAUAAUAUCAAACACGCGUCUCAAAUUUGGUUCGAUUUAAGGGUUUAGGUAGGUUUCAAAAUUUUGGAAAAUUGUUUUUUCGUCUUCCUAAAUAAUAUGCAGUUGAACUUUCAUAACUCGAACUCUUGAAUUGGCAAUAUAAGUCAAAUUCCCUUCCAGGAAUCGAGUUUUUACAUAAAUGUGUGGGUGUUUAGCGAACCUUGAUUACAUUUGUUAGUUUCACAUAAAAUGUGUUAUAUGUUAUGUAAAAAAUGUGUUUAGCUUUAACUAUUAAAUGUUACGAUAAGGGUGAGUAGGAGGAUUUCACAAAUUAUUAAACAAUAUUAAUAAACCAAAUAUAGAACACAAAUAGACAAACAAAUUGAGAACACACAAAAAGGAGAACGUAAACAAGUAUGAAUAUGUAUGUAUUGUAGGUAUUUAGGGCAACUAUUGCUAUAUAUUUAUAUGUAAGUAUAUAUUUCUCUACGAAGCAACUGAAGUUUUGGUUUAUAAUAUCACUUACUCAUUUUUCAUCCUACAAACGGACGGUGUAACGUAAUGACUUAAACCAGAUCUUUAAUUAAUGUUCUAUGUGUUACCAAGUGCGAGCUCCUUAUCGUUUAUCAGGAAGCAUGGUAAUUGUGGUUGUGGUGGUUGUGGUGGUAGUGGUGGUGGUGGUGGUUGUGAUAAUCUUAGUCAUCGUGGGAGCGAUGCAUUUUUUGUUUUUGGUAAUGGUUGUAGUGGUGAUGAUUAACGUCAUGAUGAUGGUAAAUAUUAAUAAACUUUAAGGCACUUCACUUCCUCCUUAUGCUAUUUGGCUAAUUUUGGUUUUUGUUUCAGAUUAUGUAAACUAAGCUGUAUCUUUAUAUGUGAAUACAAUAAUAAUAAUACACGGUAUAUGUAUGCAUGUAAGUGAGUUAAAUGUGCUAUGGAGUUGUGUUGAUGUAUGUAUAUAUGUCCUCGUGUAGUGGUGGUAUUAAGCAUGUUUAACGUCCGCAUAUAAAUUUAGCUAGGCAGCGGAAAUACUGAUAUGUAUGUACAUGUAUUACAAAUAUGGACAUCAGAAAUUGAGUAAAAUGUCUUACGCGUUGCUUGUUACGCUCGCAUCCUCGACUUGAACCUUGUUUAAUGCAUUUUAGCUGCAAUAGCACACCAACACCAACAAAACAUAUAAUUCUUAUGAUUAUUUUUCAAUUUAACAUAAGCCAAACACCUUUUGCAGCUAAUUUAACAAUAUUAUUUUUUGCCAAACAUUCACACGCCACGUUACAAAUUACAAUUACAUAACGAUUACGAC